AUGGCGUUCGUGGCGGCGGUGGAGGGCGCGGCCGCGGCGCUCCGUCCGGUGCUGUCGUGCGCGCAGCAGCGGCAGUGCGGUUGGGGCGCGUGGUGGCGGUUAGCAAGACGAAGCCCGUGGGCGUCAUCCACGGCAUGUGCGACGCCGGCCACCGCUGGUCCAGGAGGAGCGCCCCCACCCUCUCCUCUCCUCCUCCCCUCAUCACAAGCCAGGACAAGGAGGGCCACCGUGGCCGAGCAGGUCAGGUGGCGCGUCCAGAUCGCCGAGGAGCUGCCCACAGAUUUGAAGGAGUUGCCACUUAUCCACAGCAAUGAUAGCAUCAAAGAGUUGAACCGCAGCAUCGAGAAACAUGAGCAACGUCACGACCUUGUAAUAUCAGUUUUGUUAGAGCCUGGAACUCCUCAAGGGUCAAAGACUAUAAGACAAAUGCGCUCAUGUAUCCUUUGGAUGGAAAAGAGAAAGUGUCGCAAGAGCAAAAAAUCUGCAGGUGCCGCUCCAAGUAAAAUGAAGAGCAUGGUUGUUCAAGAAGAUUUGCUGAAAAAUGGUGCCUUCGUGGUUGCCCCGCUUACAACAAAGUACAAUUGUUCCAGAUGUAUUUUGCAUACUCUAAGAAUUUGA
rnacentral:rRNA from 1 species